AGAUGCUGAUUGGAUGAUAAGGAGCUUGAAACCAUGAUGCAUGCAUGCUGACGGACACAGAACCUGUUACUGUUCAAUGUUUUUUUUGAAGGCAUUAUUAAUGCAGACCCCGGAAUCAAGAGAAGCUUCUGCAGAACAAAGCCCCACGAGUGCUGUUUGCAUUUUUCCACGGCCGAGCUCUGAGACUAACCCUCUGAGAGGGUCGGGAGCUGCGUGAAAAACAAAAUUCCAGCCCGAAGAUUGUCAGUUGCCCUUUUGUUCCGCAACAGCCUCCGUUCUGCCCAAGUGAUCAGCCAAAUGGACAGUGAACGUUCCACGGCUUCGUAUGACAUCUCACUCCGGUCCGGUUCAGCGAGGGCACAGGCUCACGAAUGCGGCAGCUUCACGAACGAGGGACGGCGACACCAGUAUGCCAUGGGGCACAUUACAUCAACAAACCGCACAGGUAACAGACGUAGGGACGACCCUGAAUUUGGUCAGCUUUACUGGCUGAACAGGAACAGCACAAGCAUGUACAAAAAAAGAACAUAUUUCGACAUUUCAACCUCCACGACAGAACUGUCAUGUUUCUAUUGCUCCAUGCGUGAAGUUAGACGGACGCUCUGAAAAUGAAGGAUGCCCCUUUCUCAGAGAGUGUGACAAAGCAAUUCCAGAAACUGAUUAAACUCUCUGUCACCAAAUAACUUGCAUCUGGAAUGCAUGAAAGGAUCUCUCACAUGCGUGUUUUCCAUCUCUCCGGUUCCUGCAGUGCCGUGCUCCGCUUUCCGGCCGAGGGUCCACGCACAAGUUCUGGCUCCAGGGACGUUCGCUCAUCGGUAAUUCACUUGGCGAGGAGGAGCCCGGCGCUCGGCGGGAGUUCGGUGGUGGCAGGUGACACUGUUUUCCCAGCCGGUUAACAUGACGAACCUCACAGGGAGCAGCUCUCUCGCCGGUGAAUGUUGUGCACCAGCUAUUUGAUUUCCUGCUCCGACCUUUCAGGCCUCCUCCACUUCCGUGUGCCUUGAAAGGGAAGCCCUGGGGACAGGAAGAUUGGAAAAGGCACAUAAACUGCCAGGAGGAGAUUGAUACAGAAAAUGAGGCCGAGUGGCACGUCAGGCAGCUAUCGCUUUUUCCCGCGAGUGACACUGAGCGCGGUCCCUCUCCCCGCUUGCCGCCUGUACGGCCUCUUAUUAAAGGCUGCAGCCAGCUGGGACGUGUCCACCUGCCACGCUGGUGCAUCUCAUUCCGGACCGCUCCACCCGGCCGUCUUCCUCCCUCGUUCCCUCCGAGAGCCUCCGCCCCUUGACCUUUCUAUCUAGUUAUGCCUGCAUGCCAGUAAAUAUGGAACACACAGGAAUAAUAAUUCAUGUAUAUCCGUGCUGGGGAAAGUGGAUUAGCCCCUCCCCACUUUUUAACUCAUUUAUCACUGUUCGUAUAACAAUAUUUUGUACAUGUAUAAUACAUGCUGGUGCUACUCCGGCGAAUGGCCCCUGAAUACAUCAGCCAGGGGAAAAAAAUGACUUUUUCCACCAAAUUUCAACGCUUCUAUGGUUUGUGGGCAGCAUCACAAGAAGAAUAACUGCCACCGAAGGCAUGCAUAUUUACCAGCGUAUAUUUGCAAAUCCCUCGGUGCGUCCUUUUCAGAUAUGAGACCUUGACAUUUCAGCAGGAGCAAGAAAAUAUACGUACAUGGUGAUUUUAUCCUUUUGUCAUGUGACCUCAGUUGGCCACUGGUUGUUGUACUUAGGCCAGAUAUAACAGUGUUUUCUAAUGUUGAAUAUUUCAGUGACUAUGCAUUAUGAUGGGCAAUUGUAUAUGUGGACAUUCCAACAUUCAGUGUUUAAAAAGUUGAAAAAUCUCAAAAAUUGAAGGUUUUGAUAUCAAUAUAUAACAAAUAUGAUAAAAUAUACUUUCUGCAGAAAACAAUAAAAUAUAAUCAUCCUUAAAACA
rnacentral:lncRNA from 1 species